GCUUAACACAUGCAAGUCGAACGAUGAAGCCCAGCUUACUGGGUGGAAAAGUGGCGAACGGGUGAGUAACACGUGAGUAACCUGCCCAUCACUCUGGGAUAAGCGCUGGAAACGGCGUCUAAUACUGGAUAUGAACAGCGGCCGCAUGGUCAGUUGUUGGAAAGAUUUAUUGGUGAUGGAUGGACUCGCGGCCUAUCAGCUAGUUGGUGAGGUAAUGGCUCACCAAGGCGACGACGGGUAGCCGGCCUGAGAGGGUGACCGGCCACACUGGGACUGAGACACGGCCCAGACUCCUACGGGAGGCAGCAGUGGGGAAUAUUGCACAAUGGGCGCAAGCCUGAUGCAGCAACGCCGCGUGAGGGAUGACGGCCUUCGGGUUGUAAACCUCUUUUAGUAGGGAAGAAGCGCAAGUGACGGUACCUGCAGAAAAAGCACCGGCUAACUACGUG
rnacentral:rRNA from 1 species